UCCUUCCUUCAACCUCAUGAACCACUCCUGCAGCUUCCUCACCUCUCAGCCUUCGCAGAACUGGAGAGAGUAGGGGUCUUGCUCUGCAUUAGGCUUUGGCUUCAGGGAAUGUGGCUGGUCUGAUCUUCCAUCCAGACUGCUCAAACUUUCUCCGUAUCAGCAGCUCCAACGUCCUCCAACCACACGUCUUCACCUGACCUGAAGGAGCCCAGGGCUCCUGAAACUGGAGAAAGGGGCCAGGCUUACACGGACUUCUCCUGAACUAGUCUGUUCAGUGACAAAUGGCUGUAGUGACGGAGGAGCAUGGUUUCAAUUUUCCAUCUGGGAGCAGACGUCUCGUGGCUCUGCCAGCCUCGUCCGGAAGUGGGCAGGUCAUCCCAGCAGCCUUGGGAGCCAGGGACGGUGGCUCUCCAUCCGCAUGCCCACUCCCAGCCAGACUGCACUGCAACCAGGCUGGUGGGGGAGGAAAACUGUCCUUGCCGACCCCACUCGGGCCUCUCUGGAUCUUCUCACUAUCCCUGGACAAAGUGCUGGGCCACACUGGGCCUGUUUCCUCAUUGGUAAAUGGGGUAUUGUGGGGUUGUGGUGAGGAAUAAACAGGGGAUGCCCGUGAAGUGUAAGGAGUUUUCCAGCCACCCACUCCUAUAAGGAAACUUGACCUUUCGACCUCAAGUCCUGCCCCACGUCUA